AGGGGUAGACGGGUCUGCGUGACGUGAAGUUGCGGCGUCGUCGGUCGAACUAGGCCGUGCGACACUCGGCCGACGGGCCGCUCGCGGCAAGAUGGCCGCGAACCGGCGGCGGGCGGUGCAACGGCGGGCCGGAGUGGUGAUGGGAGUAGAGCGGGGAGGCAGUAGUAAGGAGGUCGUGACGAUAUUAAGAAAGUUCUCUGUAGGCGGUAGUAGUUGUGGUGGCCGCUCCGGUCUAUCUGGUGGUCGCAUAUUCGGGUCGCGGUGGGUGUCAACCAGGUGUGACAGGCUCGUCGUCAGCUCCCCCUCUCUUGUCUAGGUCCGCGGUGGUACGGGAGGCGCAGGAGGAGGAGCCGGACGCGGCGCCGGCGACGGCAGCCGCUACGGCGGCACAGGAUGCUGGUGUUCCGGCACCAGCAGUUGCCCGUCGCGGCUUGCUGCGGAGCCGGAAGCGGAGACGUGUAGAACUCCAGGUGGACCGUGUAGAGACAACGUAGUGUGAUCGUCCGGCGACGGAGCAGGCCGUAGGAGACGAAGCCGAGCAGAAGGGGGUGGGGAAGGGAAUGAGACAGCACAUAAGAAAACGAGGUAGAAGGAAGAACACCCUAAUUAAGGAAGAAAGACAAGGGGAGGAUAACAGCAACUAAAGAAGAUUACCCCGUUUUAGCGGGUACAUAUAUUUAACUAACCUAAGAUACGUUUCCUCGCUCCUGAUAAAUACUUAGGAUUAUUAGGAGUGUACCUUUCAUUAAAAACGACGAACCCGUCCGCCUCCUGCCGCGGCCGCUCGUCCGUCACCUUGUGCAGCUACGUCGGUACCACCUCCAGUACCCGCGGCUCGACGAAGUGGGCGGAGCUCGGCUGCGCUCGUUCUCACUUCUAUCGAGGCGUCGCCGCGGUACCGACGGCCGGUUGCUCGCGGGGUAGCGUCGACGACCGCCUGUUCGUGUCGCCUCGAGCCCACAACCCUACCUCUGCGUAGAUGUCCCCCGGCCACUGCGGCCUCCGCCUCCUCUCCGGCUCUCCGCUCUCCCGAUCCCUGCCUCCCCUCUCGGCCUGUCGGCUGCUCUCGGGUUAGCUUCGGUAGGGGGAAGGUGGAAGAGACGGUGACCAACCUGAUCGUCUCACAGGCACGCAAUGAUGUCCGAUGCUACGUAUAUUUACUUAACUUGUUUACUAAUCCGAGCCGAGGUUCAGGCUGCGAGUAAAGAGGGAGCAUGCGAUGGGGUUUAGGUCUGGUAUACACACUCUUCUUAUACCAACAGACGGUAUAAUAGAAGUUGUGUGACCGGGUUGUGUUUCUUUAUUGCUAGGGUGCUACCUG
rnacentral:rRNA from 1 species